GCGUAGAGAUCUGGAGGAAUACCGGUGGCGAAGGCGGCCCCCUGGACGAAGACUGACGCUCAGGUGCGAAAGCGUGGGGAGCAAACAGGAUUAGAUACCCUGGUAGUCCACGCCGUAAACGAUGUCGACUUGGAGGUUGUGCCCUUGAGGCGUGGCUUCCGGAGCUAACGCGUUAAGUCGACCGCCUGGGGAGUACGGCCGCAAGGUUAAAACUCAAAUGAAUUGACGGGGGCCCGCACAAGCGGUGGAGCAUGUGGUUUAAUUCGAUGCAACGCGAAGAACCUUACCUGGUCUUGACAUCCACAGAACUUUCCAGAGAUGGAUUGGUGCCUUCGGGAACUGUGAGACAGGUGCUGCAUGGC
rnacentral:rRNA from 1 species